rnacentral:rRNA from 1 species
GACGAACGUUGGCGGCGUGCUUAACACAUGCAAGUCGAACGGAAAGGCCCUGCUUUUGUGGGGUGCUCGAGUGGCGAACGGGUGAGUAACACGUGAGUAACCUGCCCUUGACUUUGGGAUAACUUCAGGAAACUGGGGCUAAUACCGGAUAGGAGCUCCUGCUGCAUGGUGGGGGUUGGAAAGUUUCGGCGGUUGGGGAUGGACUCGCGGCUUAUCAACUUGUUGGUGGGGUAGUGGCUUACCAAGGCUUUGACGGGUAGCCGGCCUGAGAGGGUGACCGGCCACAUUGGGACUGAGAUACGGCCCAGACUCCUACGGGAGGCAGCAGUGGGGAAUAUUGCACAAUGGGCGGAAGCCUGAUGCAGCAACGCCGCGUUCGGGAUGACGGCCUUCGGGUUGUAAACCGCUUUCGCCUGUGACGAAGCGUGAGUGACGGUAAUGGGUAAAGAAGCACCGGCUAACUACGUGCCAGCAGCCGCGGUGAUACGUAGGGUGCGAGCGUUGUCCGGAUUUAUUGGGCGUAAAGGGCUCGUAGGUGGUUGAUCGCGUCGGAAGUGUAAUCUUGGGGCUUAACCCUGAGCGUGCUUUCGAUACGGGUUGACUUGAGGAAGGUAGGGGAGAAUGGAAUUCCUGGUGGAGCGGUGGAAUGCGCAGAUACCAGGAGGAACACCAGUGGCGAAGGCGGUUCUCUGGGCCUUUCCUGACGCUGAGGAGCGAAAGCGUGGGGAGCGAACAGGCUUAGAUACCCUGGUAGUCCACGCUGUAAACGGUGGGUACUAGGUGUGGGGUCCAUUCCACGGGUUCCGUGCCGUAGCUAACGCUUUAAGUACCCCGCCUGGGGAGUACGGCCGCAAGGCUAAAACUCAAAGGAAUUGACGGGGCCCCGCACAAGCGGCGGAGCAUGCGGAUUAAUUCGAUGCAACGCGUAGAACCUUACCUGGGUUUGACAUGGAUCGGGAGUGCUCAGAGAUGGGUGUGCCUCUUUUGGGGUCGGUUCACAGGUGGUGCAUGCCUGUCGUCAGCUCGUGUCGUGAGAUGUUGGGUUAAGUCCCGCAACGAGCGCAACCCUUGUUCACUGUUGCCAGCACGUUAUGGUGGGGACUCAGUGGAGACCGCCGGGGUCAACUCGGAGGAAGGUGGGGAUGACGUCAAGUCCUCAUGCCCCUUAUGUCCAGGGCUUCACGCAUGCUACAAUGGCUGGUACAGAGAGUGGCGAGCCUGUGAGGGUGAGCGAAUCUCGGAAAGCCGGUCUCAGUUCGGAUUGGGGUCUGCAACUCGACCUCAUGAAGUCGGAGUCGCUAGUAAUCGCAGAUCAGCAACGCUGCGGUGAAUACGUUCCCGGG